UUAAGUUCAGCGGGUAUCCCUACCUGAUUCGAGGAGUUCCAAUGUCUUUUUGCUCGCCACCCCCGGCAGCCUCGCCGCGCGGGAGCGCCAGCGCGUCGUAUCACGCUCGGCCACGCGGCGGGCGUCCGCCAUUGGAUUCCAGCGCGGUGGCCGCCGCCUCGGGCACGCCACCGCCGCCAUGACCACGCGUUCGCUCGCGC
rnacentral:misc_RNA from 1 species